CAACUCUGGUCUCUCUUCACAGAAUAAAUCUUUCGCCUUUUACUAAAGAUUUCCGUGGAGAGGGACAACUCAAUGAGUCUAUAGACUUAUUUUUUUAAAACCCUACUCUUGUAGGGC
rnacentral:snRNA from 1 species